rnacentral:rRNA from 1 species
GACGAACGCUGGCGGCGUGCUUAACACAUGCAAGUCGAACGGGUCUGCCCUGUUUUUUGCGGGGUGGGUCAGUGGCGAACGGGUGAGUAACACGUGAGUAACCUGCCCCUCACUUCUGGAUAACCGCUUGAAAGGGUGGCUAAUACGGGGUGUUCUGGCUGUGCCGCAUGGUGUGGCUGGGAAAGAUUCACUUUUGUGGUGUUUUGGUGGGGGAUGGGCUCGCGGCCUAUCAGCUUGUUGGUGGGGUGAUGGCCUGCCAAGGCUUUGACGGGUGGCCGGCCUGGGAGGGUGGGCGGUCACACUGGGACUGAGAUACGGCCCAGACUCCUGCGGGAGGCAGCAGUGGGGGGUAUUGCACAAUGGGCGGAAGCCUGAUGCAGCGACGUCGCGUGAGGGAUGGAGGCCUGCGGGUUGUGAACCUCUUUCGCCGGUGAAGAAGGUCCUGCUCUUUGGGGUGGGGUUGACGGUAGCCGGGUUAUGAAGCGCCGGCUAACUACGUG